rnacentral:rRNA from 1 species
AUGGAAGCAAAAGUUUUCAAGGCCUUGCUUAGCUUUAUCUACACAGACUCAUUCCCUAUGAUGGAGUAUGACGACAUGGAUGAGGAUGAAAUGUCACAACUUAUGGAAGAAGGACAAGAAACGGAAGCAAUAGAAGAUGGAAUGUUGCUGCAAUGGCUCGGAGACUUGUUUGUAGUGGCUGACAAAUAUGACGUCCAACGCCUCAAAUGCAUUUGUGUGAGGCAGUUGUCCAAACACAUGGGUGUGCUCUCGGUGAUGUCCACUCUUGCUCUAGCCGAGCAACACCACUGCCAGGAAUUGAAGGAGGUGUGCUUGAAGUUUAUCCAAGUCCAGUCUCCGAUGUGCUUGCAAGCAAUAAUGACAACUAAUGGUUGGGAUCAUGUAUACACGACCUACCCCUCCAUUUUGAAGGAGCUCAUUGCCAAGCUUGCUUCGAACCAGCGGAAGUAA